CCUACGGGAGGCAGCAGUAGGGAAUUUUCGGCAAUGGGGGGAACCCUGACCGAGCAACGCCGCGUGAGCGAUGAAGUAUUUCGGUAUGUAAAGCUCUAUCAGCAGGGAAGAAAAUGACGGUACCUGACUAAGAAGCCCCGGCUAACUACGUGCCAGCAGCCGCGGUAAUACGUAGGGGGCAAGCGUUAUCCGGAUUUACUGGGUGUAAAGGGAGCGUAGACGGCUGUGCAAGCCAGAUGUGAAAGCCCGGGGCUCAACCCCGGGACUGCAUUUGGAACUGUGUGGCUGGAGUGUCGGAGAGGCAGGCGGAAUUCCUAGUGUAGCGGUGAAAUGCGUAGAUAUUAGGAGGAACACCAGUGGCGAAGGCGGCCUGCUGGACGAUGACUGACGUUGAGGCUCGAAAGCGUGGGGAGCAAACAGGAUUAGAUACCCGGGUAGUC
rnacentral:rRNA from 1 species